rnacentral:rRNA from 1 species
GAUGAACGCUGGCGGUAUGCUUAACACACGCAAGUCGAACGGACUCUUCGGAGUUAGUGGCGGACGGGUGAGUAACGCGUGAGAAUCUGGCUUUGGGUUCGGGACAACCACUGGAAACGGUGGCUAAUACCGGAUGUGCCGAGAGGUAAAAGAGAAAUUGCCUGAAGAUGAGCUCGCGUCUGAUUAGCUAGUUGGUGAGGUAAAGGCUCACCAAGGCAGCGAUCAGUAGCUGGUCUGAGAGGAUGACCAGCCACACUGGGACUGAGACACGGCCCAGACUCCUACGGGAGGCAGCAGUGGGGAAUUUUCCGCAAUGGGCGAAAGCCUGACGGAGCAAUACCGCGUGAGGGAAGAAGGCUCUUGGGUUGUAAACCUCUUUUCUUAGGGAAGAACAAAAUGACGGUACCUAGGGAAUCAGCAUCGGCUAACUCCGUG